AACGCACCUUGCGCCCCUUGGUAUUCCGAGGGGCACACCCGUUUGAGUGUCGUGAAAAUCUCAACCUUCUCGGUUUUCUUCUGGACACCGAAGGAGGCUUGGACUUUGGAGGCCUUUGCUGGCAUCUCUCUCUUCUUUGAGAGCCAGCUCCUCUUAAACGAAUUAGCGGGGUCCUCUUUGCCGAUCCUCGACAUGUGAUAAGAUGUUUCCAUGACUUGGUUUCUGGCUCUGUUGCCUUUGGGACCUGCUUCUAACCGUCUCGACGAGACGACGUUUGGGCGCGUCUCCCUUCUCGGGAGACUCUCUCAACCCCACGAACCCUUGACCUCAAAUCGGGUGAGACUACCCGCUGAACUUAA
rnacentral:misc_RNA from 2 species